rnacentral:rRNA from 1 species
UACGUAGGGUGCGAGCGUUGUCCGGAAUUAUUGGGCGUAAAGAGCUCGUAGGCGGUGUGUCGCGUCGGCCGUGAAAACCUGGGGCUCAACUCUGGGCGUGCGGUCGAUACGGGCAUCACUGGAGUUCGGCAGGGGAGACUGGAAUUCCUGGUGUAGCGGUGAAAUGCGCAGAUAUCAGGAGGAACACCGGUGGCGAAGGCGGCUCACUGGACCGGUACUGGACGCUGAUGCGCGAAAGCGUGGGGAGCAAACGGGG